rnacentral:rRNA from 1 species
GAUGAACGUUGGCGGUGUGCCUAAUACAUGCAAGUCGAACGGAGUUAAUAGCAAUAUUGACUUAGUGGCGAACGGGUGAGUAACACGUGGACAACCUGCCUCAAGGCUGGGGAUAACAUUUGGAAACAGAUGCUAAUACCGAAUAAACUUAGUGUCGCAUGACAAAAAGUUAAAAGGCGCUUCGGCGUCACCUAGAGAUGGAUCCGCGGUGCAUUAG